ACACCCCUCACCACUCCCCUACCAUGGCGAAUCUAGAACUUCACUCGACAGGAUUGAGAAGGAUAGAUGGACACAUCCUCAGCUUUGCUCUCAUUUUCAGACCUUCUAUUCAGCACAGAAAGGGUUCAGUAUUUGAUCAAUACAGAGGACUUUUAAGAUCUUGACGAUGCUGUAUUGGAAGCAACAUGUACCGGUUUCAUUUUAUUUUUGGAAAAGAUGAUUGGUCUUAAUUACUUUAAAGAAAAGGUGUUGGUGACGUAUGACGUAUGCUUCAAAGAAACAGAAACAAAGUCCUUAAAUAGAUGCUGAUUUGUUUUACUUGGAUAUUGCUUUAUGCAUGAAGGAAGUAACUCUCACAAUUUUCUCUGUUCAUGGAUACCAAGACACAGGCUGCCUCAAAAUUUAAAUCUGAGUUUAGCAAUUUCAUUGCCAUACAAACUAAUGUACAUUUCAUUUUUAUUUUUGUGUCAAAUCAUUCAUGUGUAUCCAUAGUCAAAGGCAGCGCUUGCCCUCUUGUCACUGCUCUUUGUAAUUUAUUCUUUUUUCUGCACAUCAUUCAGUUUAUCAUUAUUAAUUUCUGUUAUUAUUAUUUUGCAAUUGUAUACACUUUAUUGAAAAA